AUUGAACGCUGGCGGCAGGCCUAACACAUGCAAGUCGAACGAGUGGCGGACGGGUGAGUAAUGUCUGGGAAACUGCCCGAUGGAGGGGGAUAACUACUGGAAACGGUAGCUAAUACCGCAUACCAUCGGAUGUGCCCAGAUGGGAUUAGCUAGUAGGUGGGGUAACGGCUCACCUAGGAGACGAUCCCUAGCUGGUCUGAGAGGAUGACCAGCCACACUGAAACGGGGACACGGUCCAGACUCCUACGGGAGGCAGCAGUGGGGAAUAUUCCACAAUGGGCGCAAGCCUGAUGCAGCCAUGCCGCGAGUAUGAAGAAGGCCUUCGGGUUGUAAAGUACUUUCAGCGAGGGGGCGUUACUCGCAGAAGAAGCAUCGGCUAACUCCGUGCCAGCCGCCGCGGUAAUAC
rnacentral:rRNA from 1 species